UACGGAGGGGGCGAGCGUUAUUCGGAAUUAUUGGGCGUAAAGGGCGCGUAGGCGGCUUGACAAGUCAAAGGUGAAAUCCCUCGGCUCAACUGAGGAACUGCCUUUGAAACUGUCUGGCUUGAGGCCGGGAGGGGGUAGCGGAAUUCCCAGUGUAGCGGUGAAAUGCGUAGAUAUCGAGAGGAACACCAGUGGCGAAGGCGAGUCUCUGGACGACUCCUGACACUGAGGCACGAAAGCUAGGGGAGCAAACAGG
rnacentral:rRNA from 1 species